UGGGGAAUUUUGGACAAUGGGCGAAAGCCUGAUCCAGCAAUGCCGCGUGUGUGAAGAAGGCCUUCGGGUUGUAAAGCACUUUUGUCCGGAAAGAAAUCCUUGGCUCUAAUACAGUCGGGGGAUGACGGUACCGGAAGAAUAAGCACCGGCUAACUACGUGCCAGCAGCCGCGGUAAUACGUAGGGUGCAAGCGUUAAUCGGAAUUACUGGGCGUAAAGCGUGCGCAGGCGGUUUGCUAAGACCGAUGUGAAAUCCCCGGGCUCAACCUGGGAACUGCAUUGGUGACUGGCAGGCUAGAGUAUGGCAGAGGGGGGUAGAAUUCCACGUGUAGCAGUGAAAUGCGUAGAGAUGUGGAGGAAUACCGAUGGCGAAGGCAGCCCCCUGGGCCAAUACUGACGCUCAUGCACGAAAGCGUGGGGAGCAAAACAGGAUUAGAUACCCCUGGUAGUCCACGCCCUAAACGAUGUCAACUAGUUGUUGGGGAUUCAUUUCCUUAGUAACGUGAGCUAACGCGUGAAGUUGACCGUCUGGGGAGUACGGUCGCAAGAUUAAAACUCAAAUGAAUUGACGGGGUCAUAGCUGUUUCCU
rnacentral:rRNA from 1 species